rnacentral:lncRNA from 1 species
UGCCUUGGGACCCUGAGUUCCCUCUGAACUUGGACACUUGAGGAAGCCCUUCCACUCUGCACUAUGUCUCAAUCUUGAAAUGUACAUGGGUGUGAGAAGUGUCCAUAAUCCAUUUGAGGCUCUUUGGAAACUUUGAAACACCCCAAAAUGAGAACGACUUUGGAUUUGGAUCUUUGGAGUUGGUAUACUGCAUGCUUCAGGGAGGAAAACUGAAUCAGGCUCUC